AUGGCCCUGCCAAUUCACUUCAUGUCGGUUCUGCCGUUGCCGGCAUGGGCACUGAAGACAAUCAACAGGAGAUGCCGGGGUUUUAUUUGGAAAGGAGACAUUGAUAUUAGUGGUGGACACUGCCUUUUACCUUGGGAUAUGGUGUGCAUGCCCAAGGCGUAUGGGGGCCUGGGUGUGCUGAAUCUCAAAUGGUUAGGUUAUGCCCUCCACUGUAGAUGGCCAUGUUUGAGAUGGGACACGGAAGAAAGGUCGUGGCAUCAACUUCUGAAGGCUCGGGAGAAGGAGGUCUCAUCCAUAUUUAAAGCGGCGACAUCAGUUUGCUUAGGUGAUGGACAGAAGGCGAAAUUCUGGAAUGACAAGUGGCUACCUGGAGGGAAUCGUAUUUGGAUUAGGGAUAUCUCGGGAGGGAUUUUGGUGCAAGCCAUGGCUCAAUAUCUCAAAAUUUGGGACAUCACCUCAGGUGUCUCCUUAUCCGUGGGUGUUCCUAAUUGUCUAGUUUGGAAGUGGACAGAAGAUCGCAAGUUUUCUGUUGGUAGCCCAUAUAACAUGUUCUUUGCUGCAAAUGUGCACUUUGCUUGCCACAAGCUGAUAUGGAAAUCCAAAGCUCCCCCGAAAUGCAAAUUAUUUAUGUGGCUUGUUGUUCAUCGCAGGUGCUUGACCGCAGAUAAUUUGGAGACGAAGGGUUCGCCUUCUAAUGGCAACUGUCCGUUGUGCGUCUCGGCGCACGAAGACCGCACACAUCUUUUUGGGCAUUGCCGUUUCACCAACAGGUUUGGAUGAUGGUUCAGAGACUGGACGCGGGCAAACUUUCUAGUCCCUGAUGACCGCUAUGCCAAUACCGAAGAUUGGUGGCUGAGAGCACAGAAGGAGGUCCCCAAGUCCAAGAGCCGCAACUUCAACACCAUUAUCAUUCUCAUACACUAGAGGAUCUGGAGGGAAAGGAAUGCCAAAAUUUUUGAGCCUGUGGCGUGCAGCGUUGAAAGGGUGCUUGCUUUAAUCAGGGAAAACAUCAGGGCCUGGAGGGUAGCUGGCUGUAUCGGUGACCUUUUUUGA
rnacentral:rRNA from 1 species